rnacentral:lncRNA from 1 species
UUUUUCCUUUUUGCUUAACUAUUUUAAAAUGCCUAAAUUUGUAUGUGGAUAUCCAUGGGUUCUAUCAUUGCUCUUUGUUUAACUUCAAUAAGGAAGGUAGAUUCAUUCGUAACUUAGAUGAUGCUCCCUUGCACCCAUUGAAAUACAAAACUUUAAGAUUUUUAAGUUGAAAAAUGCAAUAUGGUGGUCUUCUCCUGCCUAUUUCACUUAAGUCAAGCUCUUCCAAAAACUCUAGUUGCUGAAAACAAUAAUAAAUUAGAUUUUAUUAUAUUUCCCUUCCAAAGUUGUUCAAAAACUAUUAGUGUCUUGAUUAGAUUUUCGGAGCCUUUGAGGUUGAACACUUUUAACUUAUACAGGGGCUGCUGAAAAUAAUAAUAAAUUAGGUAGAAAAGAGAAAAAUUCAGUAAACUCAUUUUUGUUGCUCUUUUUUCAUGUUAAUAAAAUUUUAAUCUUUCAUCUUAAAAUAAGCUAAAAGACAGGGAUAAGAUGAAUUAGUUCUUACUAUAUUUCCCUUCCAAAGUUUUUCAAUGCGACUAUAUGGCAAGAUAUGUACUGCAA